GACGAACGCUGGCGGCGUGCUUAACACAUGCAAGUCGAACGAUGAACCCGGAGCUUGCUCCGGUGGAUUAGUGGCGAACGGGUGAGUAACACGUGAGUAACCUGCCCUUGACUCUGGGAUAGCUGCGGGAAACUGUAGCUAAUACCGGAUACGACCCUCGGCGGCAUCGCCAGGGGGUGGAAAGAAUUUCGGUCAAGGAUGGACUCGCGGCCUAUCAGCUAGUUGGUGAGGUAACGGCUCAACAAGGCGAAGACGGGUAGCCGGCCUGAGAGGGUGACCGGCCACAAUGGGGCUGAGACACGACCCAGACUCUCACGGGAGGCAGCAGUGGGGAAUAUUGCACAAUGGGCGCAAGCCUGAUGCAGCAACGCCGCGUGAGGGAUGACGGCCGUCGGGUUGUAAACCUCUUUUGGUAGGGAAGAAGCGAAAGUGACGGUACCUGCAGAAAAAGCACCGGCUAACUACGUGCCAGCCGCCGCAGUAA
rnacentral:rRNA from 1 species